rnacentral:rRNA from 1 species
CUGGCGGCGUGCCUAAUACAUGCAAGUCGAACGGUCUUUUCUAUGGAAGCUUGCUUCCACUGAGAAGAUAGUGGCGAACGGGUGAGUAACACGUGGGUAACCUGCCAUAAGAGGGGGAGUAACAUCCGGAAACGGGUGCUAAUACCGCAUAGUUUUCUUGAUCGCAUGAUUGGGAAAGGAAAGACGGCCUUUGUGCUGUCGCUUAUGGAUGGACCCGCGGCGUAUUUAGUUAGUUGGUGAGGUAAUGGCUCACCAAGACGAUGAUACGUAGCCGACCUGAGAGGGUGAUCGGCCACAUUGGGACUGAGACACGGCCCAAACUCCUACGGGAGGCAGCAGUAGGGAAUCUUCCGCAAUGGACGAAAGUCUGACGGAGCAACGCCGCGUGAGUGAAGAAAAGGUUUUCGGAUCGUAAAACUCUGUUGUCAGAGAAGAACAAGUUGGAGAGUAACUGCUCCAGCCUUGACGGUAUCUGACCAGAAAGCCACGGCUAACUACGUGCCAGCAGCCGC